UACAGAGGGGGCAAGCGUUAUUCGGAAUUAUUGGGUGUAAAGGGCUCGUAGGCGGUUUGUCGCGUCGGGAGUGAAAACACCGGGCUUAACUCGGUGCUUGCUUUCGAUACGGGCAGACUAGAGGCAUGCAGGGGAGAACGGAAUUCCUGGUGUAGCGGUGAAAUGCGCAGAUAUCAGGAGGAACACCGGUGGCGAAGGCGGUUCUCUGGGCAUGUCCUGACGCUGAGGAGCGAAAGCUAGGGGAGCAAACGGG
rnacentral:rRNA from 1 species